rnacentral:rRNA from 1 species
CAGCCGCCGCGGUAAAACCAGCACUUCAAGUGGUCAGGAGGAUUAUUGGGCCUAAAGCAUCCGUAGCCGGCUCUGUAAGUUUCCGGUUAAAUCCAUGUGCUCAACGCAUGGGCUGCCGAAAAUACUGCACAGCUAGGGAGUGGGAGAGGUAGACGGUACUCGGUAGGAAGGGGUAAAAUCCUNUGAUCUAUCGAUGACCACCUGUGGCGAAGGCGGUCUACCAGAACACGUUCGACGGUGAGGGAUGAAAGCUGGGGGAGCAAACCGGAUUAGAUACCCGGGUAGUCCCAGCUGUAAACGAUGCAGACUCGAUGAUGCAUUGGCAUAUAGCCAGUGCAGUGUCGCAGGGAAGCCGUUAAGUCUGCCGCCUGGGAAGUACGUACGCAAGUAUGAAACUUAAAGGAAUUGGCGGGGGAGCACCACAAGGGGUGAAGCCUGCGGUUCAAUUGGAGUCAACGCCAGAAAUCUUACCCGGAGAGACAGCAGAAUGAAGGUCAAGCUGAAGACUUUACCAGACAAGCUGAGAGGUGGUGCAUGGCCGUCGCCAGCUCGUGCCGUGAGAUGUCCUGUUAAGUCAGGUAACGAGCGAGAUCCUCGCCACUAGUUGCUAUCAUUAUUCUCAGGAAUAGUGGGGCGAAUUAGUGGGACUGCCGUUGUUAAAACGGAGGAAGGAGGGGGCUACGGCAGGUCAGUAUGCCCCGAAACUCUGGGGCCACACGCGGGCUGCAAUGGUAGCGACAAUGAGCUCCAAACUCGAAAGAGAGUGGCAAUCUCUAAACGCUACCACAGUUAUGACUGAGGGCUGUAACUCGCCCUCACGAAUAUGGAAUCCCUAGUAACCGCGUGUCAUUACCGCGCGGUGAAUACGUCCCUGCUCCUUGCACACACCGCCCGUCGUUUCAUCGAAGUUUGCUUUUAGCGAGGUGAUGUUUAAUGACCA